rfam:Candidatus Pacearchaeota archaeon CG1_02_31_27 cg1_0.2_scaffold_40_c, whole genome shotgun sequence.
UGAUAGAUGCUACAAAAGCUACUAGACGGAUGGAUUGGUUUAGGUUGCGACGAAGGGCGUGGCAAGCUGCGAUAAGCUUGGGGGAGAUGCAUGCAGUCUUAGAUCCCAAGAUUCCCGAAUGCUGAAUGAGUCUUUAGAGACAUUUCGAAAGAAAAGCAUACCUGGGGAAUUGAAACAUCUUAGUACCCAGAGGAAAAGAAAAUAGUAAUGAUUCCCUUAUUAGCAGCGAGCGAAAAGGGAAGAGAGCAAACCGAAUCUUUCUUGAAAAAGAAUAGAGAUGUGGUGUUGGUUUACCUGCAGCUGUUGAAUCGAAGUUGACUGGAAAGUUACACUUUAAAGGGUGAUAGUCCCGUAGAUGUAGACAGUAUGGCUUAGCCAACAAAGAGUAACGUCCGCUGGAUUGGGGGCGUGAAUAUGGCUUAACUAAAAGCUAACUCUAAAUAUAAACCUAAGUCCGAUAGCGAAUUAGUACUGCGAAGGAACUCUGAAAAGUACUCUUAACAGAGGGUUAAAAGACCUGAAAUCUAGUAGUUAUAGACUGUUGCGGUUCUAAGGAAUUGCAACGUACGUUUUGAAAAACGGGCCGGGGAGUUUACCUAAUUGGCGAGGUUAAUGCAAAAGAAGCCGAAGCGAAAGCGAGUCUGAAAGGGCGUUUUAGUCAAUUGGGUAAGACCUGAAACCGAGUGAUCUAGCCUUGGGCAGGUUGAAGCUUCUCUUACGAGGAGUGGAGGACCGAACUAGUGCUACGGACAAGUGCUUGGAUGAUCUGAGGCUAGGGGUGAAAAGCCUAUCUAACUCGGCGUUGGCUGGUUCCUGUCGAAAUAUGCCUUAGUAUAGCUUCAUUUAGUUGGUUAACGAGGUAAAGCUACGGAUUGGGUGUACAAGGUUGUAAUGACUGCGGUAUCCUAUCCAACUCAGAACUUGUUAACAAUGUAAAAUGAGACAAAGCGCGUGCGGGUAAGCUGCAUGUACAAGAGCAGAACAAUGCAAACUAAAGUUAAGGUCCUUAAGUUCAUGUUAAGUGCAUCGAAAGUGGUUUUAAGCCCAAGACAGAAGGGAGGUAGGCUCAGAAGCAGCCACCCUUUAAAGAAAGCGUAACAGCUCACCUUUCGAGGUUUAAAGCGCUGAAAAUGGACGGGGCUAAACAUGGCACCGAUACUUUAGACAAUUCUCAGUUGAGGAUUUGUGGUAGGCAGGCGUACUGCUUGGACAGAAGUUUUCUCGAGAGAGAGGAUGGACCGAGUAGUAAUGAAAAUCCCGGUAUUAGUAGGAUCUAAGUUUCCUGAGAACGGAAACCGUCGAAAGGGGUAUGGGUUCCUCGGCAAUGUCGUUCAACCGAGGGUUAGUCGGUCCUAACUUUAACCUUAAUAUAGUUAUUGGAAUGGGAAUCAGGUUAAUAUUCCUGAACUAGAUGGCUAGAGCGCGAGCGAACUAAUAUAAAUGACGCUUUGAGAUAAGCAGAACAUUCUAUAUGGAUGUCUUUCUGUAUAACUCUGUGGAGUGUUGUAAUAACGAGAAGCAGAAGAAAACAAAAAGCUAAAUUUGUUGAGUCUUAGAGCCAGUGAAAAAUUUUAUUAGCGAACCAUCUAACCGUACCUAGAUCUGACACAAGUACCCUAGCUUAAUAGGCUAAGACGGGAAAGGUUAAUCUUCGUAAGGGAAUUCGGCAAUCUAGCCCCAUAUCUUCGGUAUAAGGGGUGCCUAUUUCUGUGUUGCAGAAGUUCAGCAGAAGUAGGUUGCAAUUACAAGGACUGCCCGACUGUUUAUCAAAAACGUAGCCGCCUGCAACCCCGAAAGGAUAUGUAUAGGCGGUGAGAUCUGCCCAGUAAUGGUGUCUAAAACUCUUUUUCAAGAGAGCUAAGGUCCAUUAAACGGCGGGCCUAACUAUGAGGCUCUUAAGGUAGCGUAAUGCCUUGUCGUUUGAAUAACGACGUGCAUGAACGGUUUAACGAGGUGGUCGCUGUCCCUACGAAGAACCUUCCGAACCUUUCAUUUUGGUGCAGGGACCAAAGACAUCUAUUGGGAAGCGGAGACCUUGUGGAACUUUACUGCAGCCUGCGACUGUUUUUCACGAAUAAUUACAUAGCGUAAGUAGGAGAUGUUAUGUUUCAACUUUCGGGUUGGAAAUAAUCACCAAUGUAAAACUACUUAGUUGUUCUUGAAAAACUUACUCGAUAGAGGACACUUGUUGGUGGGCAGUUUGGCUGGGGCGGCACCCUACCGAAAAGAUAUCGGUAGGGCCCAAUGGUAAGCUCAUUGUGGUUGGAAACCAUGAAAGGAGCGUAGAGGUAAAUGCUUGCCUGACUGUGUCUUGCACAGCAAGAGACGCAGACGCGAAAGCGCGGCUCAGCGAACCCUUAUAGUCUUUUAGUGGGACUUAAGGAUGACAGAAAAGUUACCCCAAGGAAAACAGGGUGGUCGCGCCCGAUAGUUCACAUUGACGGCGCGGCUUGCUACAUCGCCGUCGGCUCUUCCUAUCCUGGGUGUGCAUAAGCAUCCAAGGGUGCGGGAGUUCACCACUUAAAAGGAAUCGUUAGCUGGGUUAAGAACGUCGUGAGACAGUUUGUUUGAUAUCUAAUAGAUGUGUUGUUGACUGAAUGAAAGGACGAAGUAGUACGAGAGGAACCUUCGUCCGGCGCCUCUGGUGUACCGGUUGUUUUCAUACAGCAGGCCGGGUAGCUACGCGCUAACUGAUAAAUGCUGAAUGCAUCUAAGCAUGAAGCAGCUCGUAAAAAUAGUCAACCAAGGCCGUUAUAGAAGAUAACGUUGAUAGAGUGGGUGUGUAAGAUUCAAGGUAACGAGAAUUUCAGCACUCCACAACUAAUAGCCUUAAACUUUUUUCGA